rnacentral:ncRNA from 1 species
GUAAAAACGAUGAUAGGAAGUAGUAACAAGCACGUUUUUUAUAGAGAGUCAGCGGCUGGUGUAAGCUGAUAUUAACACUUGUGAAUCCGUCCUUUGAGUUGCGCGGCUGAAAAUUUAAGUAAGUCGUGGCCGGUUGAAAAAGCCGUUAUGGAACAAGUGGAUUCAGUUUUUUACUGAAUCAAUCAGGGUGGCAACGCGGGUAUGCUCUCGUCCCUUUU